CGUCAUCUGACCCUUCGACCCUCACAACCUCUGAGGCAACUAAAUGGGUUGACAUCCAAUAAUUGCCGGAAUGUUGAGCCAUGGAGACCCUGGGGAAAUAGAGUUGAGAUGUAGUGGACAGUGGAGACACUCACCCAGCUCCUUUCAGAGCCAAACCUUUGUUCAUUGGUUUACAAUGUAUGGUUGGCCACCAUCACUCCUCUGCAAUGGCAGUUGAGAGGAUUAGAAUCAGCACCUACUUUUAUGGCAGGCAUACACUGGUAUAGACAGAAGAGCAGCGUACUUAAAGGCUGCCAGUCUUGCCAGCCAUUAGCUGGGCCUUGAGAGGGACAGUAAGCCUCCAAAGAAGGCAAUUCUUAACAAGCAACCAUUGGUGUAAAUAAUGGGGUGAGACCCUGAACUGGGCCUUGGGAAGCAGAUGAAGGGCUCAUUGCAAGUGGGAGGGAACCAAAGCUAUACUAGCAGGUCAUCAUAGGAAAGGAGCGUGAAAAAUACAGAGAACCCAGAACUAGCACAUUCCAUGAAAUCCGAAAGCCUUCAGAAAGGAGGAAACUUUUGAGGUGGGCUUUGAAGCCUAAGUGGAAGAUCCCUGGAGGAGGGCAUGGCAACCCACUCCAGUAUUCUUGCCUGGAGAACCCCAUGGACAGAGAAGCCUGGCAGGCUACAGGCCAUAAGGUCGCAGAGUCAGACACGAUUGAAGCGACUUAGCACGCAUGCAGGUAGGCAGAACGGAGGCUGCCUGGGAAAGAAAUAACAUGAGGCAAGGAAUCAGGCAGGAGGCUGAUACAAAUGUCUAGAGGGGACAUCUCUGGUGGCCCAGUGGUUAAGACUUCGCUUUCCAAAGCAGGGCAUGUGGGUUCAAUCCCUCUGGUCAGACCGCCAAGAUCCAUGUGACUUGAGACCAAAAAGCCAAAACAUAAAAUAGAAGCAGCAUUGUAACAAAUUCAAUAAAGACUCUAAAAAUGGUCUACCAAAAAAUACAUAUAUUUAAGUAUCUAGAAUGAAGUAAAGUGAAGUUGCUCAGUCGUGUCCGA
ensembl:lncRNA